GUUUUUUUUUACACAUCUACCAAUCGGUGCCAUUUUUUGUGAGGCAUUGAAAAAAACCCUGUUUUUUGUGCUUGAAAUUCACUACUCGAUUGAGGGAAAGUAAAGAUAAUUGUAUGUGUGGAGUACAGGAAUGGAGAGGCAAACUGCAGAUAUUUAAUGCGUGGUGGUGAUUCCUCCUCUCGUUUAGGACUUAUCCUCAACAUCACAGCGAAGAGAGAGUCUUUGGAAUAUUUGAGAAAACGUGAGAAAAAAAAUCUUAACUGCAGCUGUUGGGGCUGAUUGGGCGUAAAGGACAAGUCAAGCCACUACCAGGACCUGAGCCCUAGGACCAUGCCUCAGGUCUACCUGGCAUGAUGAC